GGAUGAGAAGCUACAAACCAAAAGGAAUAGAGGAGCAAUGGGGAACAAGUGAAAAUACAAUUAAAUCACACCCAAACCCUCUAAUUCAAUCCUCUUCUUGACUCCAUUAUUCAAAAUUUUUUUUUUAUUUUUCUCAUUUUUCUGUAUUUUUUUUCUUUUUUUUUCAUCUUGUCUCUUUUCUUUUCUCUCUUUUCAGAACACAACUCUAAG
rnacentral:lncRNA from 1 species